rnacentral:rRNA from 1 species
UACGAAGGGGCUAGCGUUGCUCGGAAUCACUGGGCGUAAAGCGCACGUAGGCGGAUCUUUAAGUCAGGGGUGAAAUCCCAAGGCUCAACCUUGGAACUGCCUUUGAUACUGGGAUCUCGAGUCCGGAAGAGGUGAGUGGAACUGCGAGUGUAGAGGUGAAAUUCGUAGAUAUUCGCAAGAACACCAGUGGCGAAGGCGGCUCACUGGUCCGGUACUGACGCUGAGGUGCGAAAGCGUGGGAGCAACAGGGAUAAGAA